AUCUGAACUUGGAAUUUUGUUAGGAACAGAAGGCUAGUCUAAAGUGGUGUCUGUCUUCUGUAAUGUCUGUCUGUCUCCACCUCCAUCUGGUCCAUGAGCUCCUACAGGGCAUAUAAAAUAGGAUCCAUAAAAUAGGUCUUCUCCUCAUUGCCGGUGAUAAGAUUCCCAAAUGCCUUAUUGAGGAGGUAUUCAGUGAAUAUUAGGUAAAAGAAGCAAAGGAAGUCUGAGAACUCAGGGCAGAAUUUAAAGAGUAGUAAACACAUGAUACGGAUCAGAAGGCUUAUCUAGGAAAUUUUGUGUAGAUCACGUUGGAUUUA
rnacentral:lncRNA from 1 species